GUCCGGCUGACUCCCCGUGCGCGUGCGUGGGGCGUGGCGCCGCGGCCCGCCCCAGCCCCGGAGCGGCCCGUCUGGCUGGUGCGCCCGGCUGGUUCCCUGACCAGGGAUCGAACCCAGGACUCCUGAACUGAGAGCAUGGACUCUUUGCCACUGGGCCACCAGAAAAGGAAGCACAAGAAAGGUUUGAAGAUAAGAGUUGAGUUCACCAUUUGCUAGUGGAUGACCUCGAGCAAAGUACACAGAAUUGCUGAUUCUUUUCCUCUAUGAAAUGGAGAUGUUAAACAGCCACCUACUCAGACUUACACGGGAUUUAUGUAUCAAAAGGGUUGUGGAAAUCAUAAAGUACUGCAUGGAUCUUAACUAAUUUUUAUUGGCCUUGCUAAUUAGUGUCUGCUGUCCAACAGAGUAGCCACACGUGACUGUUGAGCACUUGAAAUGUGGCUAGUCCAAAUGAGAUGCACUGUGAGUGUAAAAUAUAGGACAGCUAAGAUUUAGUACCAAGACAGAGUAUAAAAGUAUCUCCUGUAAUUUUUACACAAGUGACAUGUUGAUAUUAUUUGGAGAUAGUGAAUUAAAAUGAUGUUAUUAAAAUAAAUUCUGCCAGUCUGUUAUCUUUUUAAAAUAUAGUUACUAGAAAUUUUAAAUAUUACAUAUGUGAAUCACAUUUCUACUGCAUGUGCAUGAAUGUUAAGUUGCUACAGUCCUGUCCAACUCUUUGCAACCUGAUGAACUAUAGCCCACCAGACUCCUCUGCCCAUGGGAUUCUCCAGGCAAGAAUACUGGAGUGGGUUGCCAUGCCCUCCUCCAGGGGACCCGGGGAUUGAACCCGCAUCUCUUACAUCUCCUGUGUUGGCAGAAAGAUUCUUUACCGCUAGCACUGUGCUAUUCUAUAUCCUGUCUCCUAGCCAUCCGGGCCAGAAUAUUUCAAAGUUGUUAAGUACCUAUUUAUGAAAUAUGAUUGAUUUAAAGAAGAAAACUGUGUUGAAUAAAUGACUAUCCAUUUGUGUUGUACAUUAAAGUUCUAUAAAGUUA